UCCUUAUAUGGUUAUUUCGGGGAGGAGACGCAUGUGCGCACAAUCUUCCGCUGACUGACUGGGAUUUAUGAAGUGAAUGUUGCGCAGGUUCUGGCGUACGCACGGUUUUAUAAGUCUGAAUAUUUUUUUGCGCAUGCCAUUUUUGGCUUUCAGGCGCACGUACACUUUUAGUAUGGAUCCUACGCACAGUUUUAUAAAUGAGACCCCAGAUCCUGCUAAAAUAUGACACAAUAAUCUGAGUGUAAGAAAGUGAUAUACAGGUUGAGACGAUAUAGGUUUUGUGUUGUGACAAGAUGUUUUUUGACCCUUAAUGAUUUUUAUUCUAUUUUAUUACCAGCACAAGGUAGCGUGGCACAAGAGGGUAUUUCAACUGUUAACUCUAUCGAAGACAAUGAAGAACCAUCUUCCAGAUCAGCCUUCAGAGAUCCUCCUGAUGACCUAACAACUGAACUACAUGGCAAUGCUGAGUAUGAUCCAUCUCAAUUAUUUGAGGAAGCUCUCCCUGAUGUGGGGGAUUGGACAUAUGAUGAUGGACAUUUGUUCAAUGAGGGAUUUGAAGAGGGUUUGAGUGAGGACUGUGCAGAAGAGUCAAAUUUCAAGGACACAGCACACAAACCAUUGUAUGACAAUGCAUCAAUAACUGUUGCAGAGAGCCUUCUGAUCAUCAUGGCUUACGUAAACUGUCAUAAAGUAACUGAUAAGGCCCUUAGUGAUUUGCUUAAAAUGUUUAAGUUGGUUUGUCCUAAUAGUCUGAAUACAGACUGCUUAAACAGUGUACAGAAGUUAAAAGACUUUUUUUUCUCACAUGCUGCAUCAUCUCCUAUUGUAUUGCAUAAAUAUUGCAGUACUUGUUUUGGGUCAUUAGAAGGUGAACAAUUACAAUGUCUAUCUUGUGGCACCAGUGUGUCAGAAGAAAGAUCCUCAUCCUUCAUAGAGGUUCCAAUUGAUGCUCAAAUAAGGUCAUUGUUUCUCAAGCCAGGUUUUCAGGAGAAACUUAACUUUAGAUUAAGCAGGAAGAAGACAGAUCCUAACAACAUUGAAGAUAUAUAUGAUGCAGAAAUUUACAAACAGCUUGUAGAUGGGGGUGGUCCUCUUAGUGACCCUAAAAACAUCUCACUUACUUGGAACACAGAUGGGGUACCUAUUUUCAAAUCGUCCAAGUUUUCAGUGUGGCCUUUUUAUUGUAUCAUCAAUGAACUGAGUUUCAUGGAACGCACAAAAAGAGAGAAUAUGAUAUUUGCUGGACUUUGGUAUGGGGACUCAAAACCAUCCAUGGUUACAUUCCUUAGACCACUAGGUGACACACUGAGUAAACUUGCAGAUGAUGGAAUUCUUGUGCAACCUGCAGAGUUGACAUCUGAACCUUUUGUGUGUAAAGUGCUCACCAUUGCUGGAACAUGCGACUUACCUGCUAAAGCAUUAGUCCUUAAUUCAGUGCAAUACAAUGGGAAAUUUGGAUGUCAUAAAUGUGAGCAGCCAGGAGAGACUGUAAAGACAGGGGAAAGGGGACAUGUUCAUGCAUUUCCAUACCAACAUAGAGAUCCAAAAGGCCCACUGCGCACAAAUGAAAAGUUUGCUCUGGAUAUGAAAAUCUCAAAUGAGACCAAAACCCCCGUUAAAGGGGUGAAGGGUCCCUGUUGGCUUAGCAAACUUAAAUGUUAUAACCUUAUCAAAGGCACUGCCAUAGAUUACAUGCACUCAGUCCUUCUUGGAGUAAUGCGCCUUCUGAUGGUUCUAUGGUUUUCUCCAGAGUUUUCUCGUCAGCCCUUCAGCAUGGCAAAAAAUGCAAAGGAAAUUGACAGGCGAUUUCAGGAUAUCUCUCCUCCAUCCUCCACUCGAUAUCCUCGAUUAGUGACAUCUCACAGAAUGUUUUUUAAAGCAUCAGAAUAUCGGGAUAUUUUGAUCUUCUAUGGACCUGUUGUUUUCCGUGGAAUUCUUGCAACACUGUACUACAAGCACUUCCUUCUACUAAGUGAAGCCAUUUUCAUUUUGUUGAUGGAAUCCAUAUCAGUUGAACAGAUUGAUCAUGCAGAGAAACUACUGUGGAACUUUUGUUCCCAAAUGGCUAAUCUAUAUGGUGAGCGGUACGAAACUGCAAAUGUACACCUUCUUGUGCACCUAGCAGACAGUGUGAAGGCCCUUGGUCCAUUAUGGACUCAUUCUUGUUUCCAUUUUGAGGACAAGAAUGGCUAUUUGUUAAGGCUCAUACAUGGCACUCAAAAUAUACCUAUGCAGAUGGUCCAUGCAGUCAAACUUGUGCAGUCUAUUCCUGUUAUUUCACAAACCAUAAAACCAGGGAAUGCCAUAGCUGAAUUUUACACACGGAUGACUAAAGAUGAUAGUUUCUGUCAGGAAAACAAUGAUUUGUCUAGGACCAAACUAUAUGGAGCAUCUAGUGAACUUCAACUGGACACAGUUCAACUCUCUACAUUGGAAAGACAUACUGGUCAUUGCAUCAGUUCUAAAACAGUAAGGAUCUUUCACAGGGCACAAGUUAAGAGAAAUUAUCUCACAUCAAAACACUAUGGGAAAGGCAAUAGAAGAAACAAUUUUACAGUCGUUUUUUCUAGUGAUGGACAAAGAAAGUAUGGACAGAUUGAGUACUUCUUUACCUCAGAACAUUCAUAUGCCAAAUGGGCCCUUGUUCAUGAAUUCAAAGUUGCUGGUUUUUCUUUGCUGCAUGAUAGUGUAACAAAUGGUACAUGCAGUCAUUUUGUUCCCCUAUUGGAAACCUCUGUUAAUACAGUAGUUUCCCUGGAUCAUAUAUUGGGUAAAGUUGUUUUCUUUGACUUAACAUCUAUGCCUGGCAUUGUUUUUGCAGCUAAUUUCCCAAACACACUUGAAAAGUUUUAACCCCUUAAUAUUGGGUUUAUACUGGAUGCAACAGUGGGUCAUGGUCAGGGUGUGUGGUGGCAAGAUGAAUUGCCUCUAUUGUAUUAUCAGGGUGCUUGAAUGAAUUGAAUUAAAACAGCAUGUGCUCUAUUAUGUGUUACACACUCUUUUACUGCUCUAUACAAUAGAGCUUUGCUGUGAAUUCUGUCAAAACAGCACAAUGUCAACAUUUAGAAAGUUCACAAAGGUGUCUUUUGA
ensembl:lncRNA